rnacentral:rRNA from 1 species
GCCUCCCUCCGCCGCCACUCAGACUCCUACCGGGAGGCCGGCCGAGUGGGGAAGUUUUGUCGCAANGGGGAACCGUGACGCAGCAACGCCGCGUGGAGGAUGAAAUCCCUUGGAUGUAAACUCCUUUCGAUAGGGAAGAUAAUGACCGGUACCUACUACGAAGAAGCCCGGCUACUUCGUGUCAGCAGCCGCGGUAAUUC